UGAUUGCAAUGAAUACAUAAUUAAUUUAAAUACGUUCCGUUGCUGCAUGCAUGUAUUUCUAGUAUAUAUUCGUACAUUCUAUACACUCUGAAUGUUCAUUUUCCUAUAUACUCAAAUAUUCAUGUUAUUACCAUACAUAUUCAUAUUCAAACUACACUGUAAAACUCAAUAUUCAAUAUUGAACAUGUUGCCCUCGGUUCCAGUCAAUAAAUGUCAAAUACCAUCUGCUG